UACGAAGGGGGCUAGCGUUGUUCGGAUUUACUGGGCGUAAAGCGCACGUAGGCGGCUCGUUAAGUUGGGGGUGAAAUCCUGGAGCUCAACUCCAGAACUGCCUUUGAUACUGAGGAUCUUGAGUCCGGGAGAGGUGAGUGGAACUGCGAGUGUAGAGGUGAAAUUCGUAGAUAUUCGCAAGAACACCAGUGGCGAAGGCGGCUCACUGGCCCGGUACUGACGCUGAGGCACGAAAGCGUGGGGAGCAAACAGG
rnacentral:rRNA from 1 species